rnacentral:rRNA from 1 species
GGGGUAUCGACCCCCCCUGUGCCGGAGUUAACACAAUAAGUAUCCCACCUGGGGAGUACGACCGCAAGGUUGAAACUCAAAGGAAUUGACGGGGGCCCGCACAAGCAGUGGAGCAUGUGGUUUAAUUCGAAGCAACGCGAAGAACCUUACCAGGACUUGACAUCCCUUGAACGCUUUAGAGAUAAAGUUUUCCUUCGGGACAAGGAGACAGGUGGUGCAUGGUUGUCGUCAGCUCGUGUCGUGAGAUGUUGGGUUAAGUCCCGCAACGAGCGCAACCCCUGUUGUUAGUUGCCAUCAUUAAGUUGGGCACUCUAGCAAGACUGCCGGUGAUAAAUCGGAGGAAGGUGGGGACGACGUCAAAUCAUCAUGCCCCUUAUGUCCUGGGCUACACACGUACUACAAUGGCUACUACAGCAGGAAGCGAAGCCGCGAGGUGGAGCAAAUCCCCAAAAGUAGCCCCAGUUCGGAUUGUAGGCUGAAACUCGCCUACAUGAAGUCGGAAUUGCUAGUAAUUGCAGGUCAGCAUACUGCAGUGAAUACGUUCCCGGGCCUUGUACACACCGCCCGUCACACCAUGAGAGUUUGUAACACCCGAAGUCGGUAGUCUAACCGUAAGGAGGACGCCGCCGAAGGUGGGACAGAUGAUUAGGGUGAAGUCGUAACAAGGUAACCGUA